AGCAGUCGCCGCGGUAUACGUAGGUGGCAAGCGUUGUCCGGAAUUAUUGGGCGUAAAGGGCUCGCAGGCGGUUUCUUAAGUCUGAUGUGAAAGCCCCCGGCUCAACCGGGGAGGGUCAUUGGAAACUGGGAAACCUGAGUGCAGAAGAGGAGAGUGGAAUUCCACGUGUAGCGGUGAAAUGCGUAGAGAUGUGGAGGAACACCAGUGGCGAAGGCGACUCUCUGGUCUGUAACUGACGCUGAGGAGCGAAAGCGUGGGGAGCGAACAGGAUUAGAUACCCGCGUAGUCCCUGUCUCUUAUACA
rnacentral:rRNA from 1 species